CUGUCCUUCGCCCGUGGUGCAAGCCAGACGCUGAAGCACAGCGGGCCUUGACCCAGUCUGUGUGCACUUGUCUGUGAGCUUCGUAUGCAUAAGCGCCAUGAGGCCUGUCCGGUUUGUCGUCCCGUAGCUGUGGUCUGCUCCUGCGCCGAAGGAAGCCAGCGUUAGGAUGAUUUGCUUUUCUUGGAGCUAAAAACCGAAAGAAACUCUCUUCCCCUGGUGGUUUUCUGUAGCAGCAAAGCACUCCAGCAUUUCUCGGUCGGGAAAGGAAUCUGGGUGGUGUGGCCAUUUUUCACACGUGGAAACUGAGGCCUAUCAGGGCGUGGCCACGAGGGCCUCUGAGAACCUGGCGAGCUCCCCUGCUUUCUCCCCGAUGAUCAGCGAUCCCCCCCGCAAGGGUUACUACCGAGCGUCUUGACAGGUCUAGCAGCCUUGUAGUACUUUGAGGUUGCCAUAGCAUUUUUCUGAUUACCAUGGCAGGAAGUGCAGUUUUUGAGCAGACCAGAAAAAAAAUUGGCUCCCAUGUCUUUUUUUCUUUCCCCAACACAGACUGACUUCUAAAACCUAAAGCAACUGUGAACUAUUCCUUCCCUAACAGUGAACCCCGUCCUAGUACACAGUCUCGCCCUUGGGGAAGAGAAUGUGUGGAUCACCGAAAAUUGACUGUUAUUGUCUAGAGGGUUACUGUCUGAGUUUCGGUCGCGGCAAAGUCUGUCUGUAGGAUAUUUAAAUACCCUAAGGUGUGGCUACCUCGGACCUCAGGGAAUCAGACCUGGCGAUUGGGGGCAUUGGGGGCCCGAGGGAGUAUUCCUGGAGGCAAAUGGGAUUGCGCCCCAGAAGAGGAGAAGGACAGGAUGCCAGUCAAGACUGCUGCAAUUUGGUGCUGGGCAUUUGCAUAUGCAUGCUGUGUACCUACGCCUCCAGUUUUUAAACCGAAAGACUUCUUUGUGCAAGUGAUGAGCAACAUCAGAAAACAAAUCGGGCCUGGCUUUACAGUGAGAUUUGAAGAAUCUUCCUAACUACAGAGGCGCCUGAGCUAAAGGCCCUUGGUGGAGUAUGUACUGAAAACAUACGUCAUGGAAAAACAACGGGAGAAGAAUCUAGUGGGAAUAAAGUAGACAAAUAAA